rnacentral:rRNA from 1 species
UACGGGGGGAGCAAGCGUUGUUCGGAUUUACUGGGCGUAAAGGGCGCGUAGGCGGCCACCGCAAGUCAGUUGUGAAAUCUCUGGGCUUAACCCAGAACGGUCAGCUGAUACUGCGGGGCUAGAGUGCAGAAGGGGCAACUGGAAUUCUCGGUGUAGCGGUGAAAUGCGCAGAUAUCAGGAAGAACACCCGUGGCGAAGGCGGUUCUCUGGGAAGGUACUGACGCUGAGACGCGAAAGCGUGGGGAGCGAACAGG